rnacentral:rRNA from 1 species
GCGGAGGAAAAGAAACUAACAAGGAUUCCCCUAGUAACUGCGAGUGAACCGGGAAAAGCUCAAAUUUUGAAUCUGGCGGUCUUUUCGGCCGUCCGAGUUGUAAUCUAGAGAAGCGUCUUCCGCGCUGGACCGUGUAUAAGUUUCCUGGAAUGGAACGUCGUAGAGGGUGAGAAUCCCGUCUUUGACACGGACUACCAGGGCUAUGUGAUGCGCUCUCGACGAGUCGAGUUGUUUGGGAAUGCAGCUCAAAUAGGGUGGUAAAUUCCAUCUAAAGCUAAAUACAGGCGAGAGACCGAUAGCGAACAAGUACCGUGAGGGAAAGAUGAAAAGAACUUUGGAAAGAGAGUUAAACAGUACGUGAAAUUGCUGAAAGGGAAACGCUUGAUGUCAGUCGCGUCGGCCGGGGAUCAGCCUCGCUCUUUUGCUUGGCGUACUUCCUGGUCGACGGGUCAGCAUCGGUUUUGACCGUCGGAAAAUGGCUCGAGGAAUGUGGCACUCCUCGGAGUGUGUUAUAGCCUUGGGUCGAAUACGACGGUUGGGACCGAGGAACUCAGCACGACCUUAGGGUUCGGAGCUUCGGCUCACGUUAACGUGCUUAGGAUGCUGGCAUAAUGGCCUUAAGCGACCCGU